AACCCUCCUCCUUUAUCGGCGGCUUAAGACCAACAAAAGGAGGUCAAGAAUUUCUACUAUUAAAUCUAUAUAUUAAAUAGAUUUUUGGAACAGGGAGAUGGAAUAGGGGCUUGCUCCGUCCACUCCACGCAUCGACCUGGUAUUGCAGUAUCUCCAGGAACGGUGCACUCCCU
rnacentral:snRNA from 1 species